rnacentral:rRNA from 1 species
GUCGUGAGAUGUUGGGUUAAGUCCCGCAACGAGCGCAACCCUUGUCCCUAGUUGCUACGCAAGAGCACUCUAGGGAGACUGCCGGUGACAAACCGGAGGAAGGUGGGGAUGACGUCAAGUCCUCAUGGCCCUUAUGGGUAGGGCUUCACACGUCAUACAAUGGUCGGAACAGAGGGUCGCCAACCCGCGAGGGGGAGCCAAUCCCAGAAAACCGAUCGUAGUCCGGAUCGCACUCUGCAACUCGAGUGCGUGAAGCUGGAAUCGCUAGUAAUCGCGGAUCA